rnacentral:rRNA from 1 species
GAUGAACGCUGGCGGCGUGCCUAAUACAUGCAAGUCGAGCGAAAAGAUAAGGAGCUUGCUCCUUUGACGUUAGCGGCGGACGGGUGAGUAACACGUGGGUAACCUACCUAUAAGACUGGAAUAACUCCGGGAAACCGGGGCUAAUGCCGGAUAACAUGUUGAACCGCAUGGUUCUACAGUGAAAGGCGGCUUUGCUGUCACUUAUAGAUGGACCCGCGCCGUAUUAGCUAGUUGGUGAGGUAACGGCUCACCAAGGCAACGAUACGUAGCCGACCUGAGAGAGUGGUCGGCCACACUAGAGCUGAGACGCGGUCCAGACUCCUGCGAGAGGGAGCAGUAGGGAAUCUUACGCAAUAGUCGAGAGCCUGACAGAGCAGCGCCGCGUGAGUGAUGGAAAUCUUGGGAUCGUGAAGCUCUGUUAUUAGGUGUGAACAGAUGCGUAAGUAGCUGUGCGGGGCUUGACGGUAACUGGUCAAAAAGCCACGGCUAACUACGUG